UACGGGGGGGAGCAAGCGUUGUUCGGAUUUACUGGGCGUAAAGGGCGCGUAGGCGGUCGUGACAAGUCACUUGUGAAAUCUCCGGGCUUAACUCGGAACGGUCAAGUGAUACUGUCGGACUAGAGUACAGAAGGGGCAACUGGAAUUCUCGGUGUAGCGGUGAAAUGCGUAGAUAUCGAGAGGGAACACCUGCGGCGAAGGCGGUUCUC
rnacentral:rRNA from 1 species